rnacentral:rRNA from 1 species
ACGGAAGGCAGCAGUGAGGAAUAUUGGUCAAUGGGCGGAAGCCUGAACCAGCCAAGUCGCGUGAAGGAUGAAGGUAUUAUGUAUUGUAAACUUCUUUAGACGUAGAGAAAUAAGGGGAUCGUGAUCCCUGAUGCUAGUAUACGUAGAAUAAGGAUCGGCUAACUCCGUGCCAGCAGCCGCGGUAAUACGGAGGAUCCGAGCGUUAUCCGGAUUUAUUGGGUUUAAAGGGUGCGCAGGCGGCUUUUUAAGUCAGUGGUUAAAUCGUGGAGCUUAACUCCAUCCCGCCAUUGAUACUGGAGAGCUUGAUUGCGGUUGAGGUUGGCGGAAUUCGCCGUGUAGCGGUGAAAUGCGUAGAUAUGGCGAAGAACUCCGAUUGCGUAGGCAGCUGACCAAGCCGUAAAUGACGCUCAUGCACGAAAGUGCGGGGAUCGAACAGGAUUAGAUACCCUGGUA